rnacentral:lncRNA from 11 species
ACAGAUUAACUGUGUGAAAGUGGGUGUUUCAAUGGGAGAGUAUUUCCUGCCUGCUUAAGCAAAUGCAUCACCUCCUGCUGUCCCCAGCCGCAGGUUUCUCCAUGCAUUAGUGCUGCCCUUUCUAACAUUGUUAGGAUGUUUAUUAAGCUGUAGACACCCAGGAAAUGAGUGCUCCUUUCCAGCUGGCUUCACUGGGAACCAUUCUGCAAAGACAGACAAAGACCAAACCUUUUCUGCCAGAACCAAAAGGCCCACCUGAGCCCAGUCGCUUUGGACUCUUCGUGACCUCAUGGACCAGCCCAUACCAGAGUUCCCUGUUGGCUGUUGCAACCCCCAGCUCCUUCAAGGUCAAGCCAGUCACUUCAAGGAUAACAUCCAUCCGUCUUGCCCUUGGUCGGUCUUCCUCCGCUCAGCCUUCCUUGUGGUCCAGCUCUUGCAUCCAUAGGUUACUACAGAGAAUACCCUUGCUUUAACUAUGCAAACCUUCAUUGCCAGUGUGAUGUCUCUACUCUUCACUAUUUUAUGGAGAUUAGUCAUGACUCUCCUCCCAAGAAGUAAACUUCUGAUUAUCUUCAGAACAUUGGAAAACUUACUUUUAAAAAAGGAUAAGUAUAAUGCCAUGCUGAAGCUAUCUAUAAGCGAGCAAUGGUAGGAUGAUGCUCUGAGAGCCACAGCAUCACCCUAAACAUCAUCACUCUGUUUUUACUUAUUUAAGGGAUGGCUCCAGAUUGCAUCAUAUUUGUUUUUAUGUAAAGGAAGUUUUCAAACUCGGCUACUAUGCUUAAAACACAAAUCAGAUCUCUAAAAGAAACGCACCUAGCUUAUAUGCUCUUUUUUGUUUGUGCAUGAAUAAUGGCUUUUCCUCAAAGAUUUUAUUUUAAUGUAAUAGAAAAGUUAAAAAGGUAUCUGUGGGCACAGUGAUAUUGAGAAUAAAGCUGGUAUAUUUCUG